UACGGAGGGUGCAAACGUUGCUCGGAAUUAUUGGGCGUAAAGCGCACGUAGGCGGUCUAGCAAGUCGGGUGUGAAAGCCCUCAGCUUAACUGAGGAAGUGCAUUCGAAACUACUAGGCUUGAGUACUGAAGAGGACGACGGAAUUCCCGGUGUAGAGGUGAAAUUCGUAGAUAUCGUUAGGAACACCAGUGGCGAAGGCGGUCGUCUGGGCAGAUACUGACGCUGAGGUGCGAAAGCGUGGGGAGCAAACAGG
rnacentral:rRNA from 1 species